ensembl:miRNA MIR5707 microRNA 5707
UGUAAGAACACGUUUGAAUGCUGUACAAGGCACAUAUGUGAACAUUGUACCACAUGUACAGCUUUCAAACAUGCUCUUAUA